AAAAAGAGAUAAGUAAUAUGCCCAAUAGAGAAUUUAAAGCAACAGUCAUAAAGAUACUUACUGGACUUCAGAAAACAAUGGAGGGUUUCA